rnacentral:lncRNA from 1 species
AUGUGUCACCAACUUCUCCGUGCUAUCGUCCACUUGUCACUCAGCUUCACCGCACUAUCGUCCAGGUGUCACUCAGCUUCUCCUUACUAUCAUCCAGGUGUCACUCAGCUUCUCCGCACUAUCGUCCAGGUGUCACUCAGCUUCUCCGCACUAUCGUCCAGGUGUCACUCAGCUUCUCCGCACUCUAUCGUCCAGGUGUCACUCAGCUUCUCCGCACUAUCGUCCAGGUGUCACUCAGCUUCUCUGCACUAUCGUCCAGGUGUCACUCAGCUUCACUGCACCAUCAGUCCAGGUGCUGCUCAGCUUCUCCUUUACCAUUGUCCAUGUGUCACUCAGCUUCUCCGCGCUAUCGUCCACUUGUCACUCAGCUCACUGCACCAUCAGCCCAGGGUGUCACUCAGCUUCACCUUCGCACUAUUGUCCACAGGUGUCACUUCCAGCUUCUACACCUCGCACCAUCAGCCCAGGUGGCACUAGCUCCUCCAUCAUCAUCCAUGUGUCACUCAGCUUCUCCGCACUAUCGUCCAUUUGUCACUCAGCUUGUCCACACUAACGUCCAGGUAUCACUCAGCUUUCUGCUGUUGUGUUUUCUCUCAAGCCAAAGAUAACUUCGAGCUGCUUCCCCUCUCUCUGCUUCCUGGCUCCUAACACACAAAAGGAUUACUUUAUUACUUUAUCAACCAACUGGCAACUCCUUAUCUAAUCACACACAAACUCAAAGGGGCUUUUUCCUCCAUGCUUUGCUUAGACAAACCUUAAUCUCUUGGCAUAGGGGAGAGAACCAUGUUUUUGCAUCCUUUUAAUGUCAACCUGUGGAGUCAGAUGGACGGAAAGGGCCCUAUAUUUUAAACGCACCAGAUAUUUACCACCUUCUAUCAAGCACUUGGCAAAGCCUGCCAAACUCCGGGAUGCUGGGCUGGCUGCUGAUAAAUUUCCUGAACUUAUUAAAAUAUAGACUUACAUGCAGGUGGCUCACCUGUAACCCAGCACUUUGGGAGGCUGAGGCGAUGGAUCACAGGUCAGGAGUUUGAGACCAGCUCACAACAUGGUGAAACCUCGCUCUACAAAAUACAAAAAUUAGCUGGGAUGCAGGAUAUGCCAGAUUCUUAGCACAGAGCUAAGGAGAAGUGUUAUUAGGGAGGCGGAGGCUGCAGUGAGCAGAAAUCUCUCCACUUUUUCCAGCCUGGGCGACAGAGUGAGACACUGUGUCCAAAAAAAAAAAAAAAAAGGAGAGAGAUAAAAAGAGGUACUUGGAGAAAGCUAUAUCUGGAUGGGAUUUGAUGCAAGAAAUUUUUCACCCUUUGCCAGCCAAAGGAGGUGGAAAUUUCCCAACAACAAACUCUUGAACAGACAAUUGAGCUGCAGACCAUCAGCUAACCUUAUCUCAUCACGCAUUGCAGAGCUCUUUCCAAUGAACGGAGCUGCAGACCACUAGACAACCCAUCUCACCACUGCACAGAGCCUUCUCCAAUGAACAGAGCUGCAGACCAAGGAGCGCCAACCCAUCUCACCACCGGGUGACAGAGCUUUCUCCAAUGAACGGAGCUGCAGACCAUCAGCGUCAACCCAUCUCACCACUGCACAGAGCCUUCUCCAAUGAACGGAGCUGCAGACCAUCAGCAUCAACCCAUCUCAACGCCGCAUUACAGAGCUUCACCAGUGAACAGAGCUGCAGGGCCUUCAUCACGCCAACCCACCUCACCGGGCUGCACAGAGCCUUCUCCAAGAUGUGGGUAA